rnacentral:tRNA from 1 species
GCCGCCAUCGCAUAGUGGUAUUGCACACGCUUGGAAAGCGUGGCCUUUUAGGUUCGGGAGUUCGAUUCUCCCUGGCGGCG